UCAUAACACUGUAGACUAUGUAUAUACUAUAACGUGAUCCAAAGGCUGUAACAUCAUCAGAUGCUGAUGACACAUCAGAUCUGCACCACGCCGGCGAGAACGUACGAGCUUUCGUCUUUGGCGGAAGCAGCUUUCGUUCCCAUGGCCUCGUUCGCUCACUUGUCGCCGGUUAUCACCAUCGGAUCACUGUCGAAGCGGUUGGCGUCUCGGAUGGGUAGCCAUGUGCGAUCCCUGUGGGAUUCUGAUGCACGUAAGGGAUUCAAACACUUAGAGAUUAAUCCCAGAGUUACACACUGCGUCGCUGACCUCUUUGUCCUUUGGUUCCUUGUCACUGGGACAGGUAAGGACGGCAACUGAGAUGCUCUUGACUGUUAACGCGGGAGCAGCUUCUCACUGAUCAUUUCAUCAAACAUGUUAUAGCAAGCUCAGUACCCAUCAUUACACCUGUGAAAUCUUGGAACAGGCUGCAGUUCCUGCUAUUCUACCCGAUGCCCAUGAAGAAUUCUAUAGAAAUGUCCUCACAGAACUGGAAUCUUCAGCGGAUGCCAUUUAUACAGGGAUAGAUCAGAUCCAAGUGCCCCAUUGCCACAACAGACCUCAGGGUUCGAUGUUCAUGAUGGUUAGUCUAUUAUAUCGUCCAUUGAUGCGUGGCUUUUUUUUUGUUUAGCUCAUGACUGUUCCAUUCAAUUGUAUUUGUAGGUUGAGGUGAACACGUCCCUUCUACUUGACAAACAAACCAAACGAGAAAAAAAAAAAGGAAGGAUAUGUUUUACUUCAAAGAAAAAUCAAAAGAAGGUGCAAAUUCUUAAACAAAUAUUUCUAAAAUGUUGAUAUUCCUGAACAGGAGAUGUAUUUUUGUAAAUAUUAUGUAUAGGUAGAUCCAUGCUAAAAUUGUCUUUUGGAAUCCAUAAAUAAACCAUUUUUGAAAUUUUCUUUUAAUCAUAUUACCACAAUUCAAAUUGCAGGCAGAGAAUUACCUGCUUAAUUUGUGACCUUCAUGGAGCUGAGGAAAUGCAUAUCACACCCAUCGCCUACAACGAAAGCUCCAGACAGCAGUUAUGCCAUUAAGAUGCAGAUAGCAAGAGACGACUUCUGAAUUUUACCCUUCUGUAAAUCCAUAGCAUACAAUAUAUAAGCAAUAUGGAUAAUAGGAUACUGCAAAUGAAUGGCAAGUGACAGAACUCAAAGUUACUUAUAGCCAAUGUUAGCAAAAGCUAUCAUAUAAAAUCCAGUAAAAACAGAAAGGAGAGCAUUUAUGAAUAUGCAUAGUGUUCUAAUGAAGAAUGUCAUUACUAUGCCCACCAUACUAACGAUGGCAACUAUCUUAUAUGAGUUUUAGGCAUUCGAGAAAAGAUUGGCAAGCCCACUGGGGCAUGAAUACAGAUAGGAGGUCAGAUUUCAGAAAGGUGAACAACAGAAAAAAUUGUCUUGAAACAUUAAAUGAUCCUAUAUGAGUUUUAAAGCAUUUUAAAUGCAGUGCAAUGUAAUAUCAUAAAGAAAGAAUUUAAGAAUGAGCACAUUGACAUUCUUUAGUUGAGACACUAAAAUAAAGUCUCUUGUUUUAAUAAUCAUUUCCUCCGACUACAGAGGUUAUAGAAAUGAAUAAAGGGUAUACAAUGAUCUAUCAAUUUUUUAAUAGGAUUAGACAUAAACAAGUCAACACCACAAUGUUCUUAAAUCUUGAAUAAAGGAGGCAUAGCUUAAAGACUAGUUUAAUCUCCUCAUGGAAAUUAGUUUGUCAUUGUUAUCACUGCAAAUCAGUCUGUAUAAGCAGACAAGUCUAAGGAAUUUUAAGCCUCAUAAUAACAUCACAAAUAAGUCACAUCAAUCCCAAUAUGUCUCUUGAUACGAAGCCCAUCUUCACAAUUCUGUGAUUGUUCUCCAAGUCUACUUCCACUUAUAAGAUCCAUUCCUCAACCCAGUUGAACUUAUUCUGGUAUAAUCAAUAUGUAAUUUCUUUAUUCAUUCUCACAAAAAUAACAAGCAUUUUUCAUAUAUCUCAGUAAUCCAUAAUCCAUGACAUUUCAUGUAGUCCAAUGUUCUUGUUUUAUUUCCAUUUCUAUGCAAGAAUAAACAAAACCUUAUAGCACCUAGCUUUUCUCCAACCGCUAAUCCAACAUCUACUUCUCGGAGGAAGGGUAAGCAUAACAAUCAUCGAAACCCUAAUUUUUCUUUUUCCGCAAGUGAAAUCCAAGAUUCUUUAAUUACAAGAUCAAGAUUUCUUGAGCCCUAAAACUUUCUUACAAGCAAAUUCCUAUAACGAACUACAGCGGAUGAAAACGGAAGCAAGCCCCAAGCAUCUCGAGUUGCAAGAAGGUCAUCAUUGAUCAGUUCGAAGGAAACAGCACAUAGCGAUCAAGAAUUCCUAUAACGAACUACGAUCAAUUAUUGAUCCCAAAAAAGUUUCUUACAAGCAAUUUCCUACGGUGAACCUCCAGGGGACGAACCGAAGCAGGCCCCAAGAAUCUUGAGUUGCAAGAAGAACAUCGCCGAUCAAGAAUUCCUAUAACUAACCACAACAAAGAUGACCAGCAAAUUUACAACAAUCUUGAGUUGCAAGAAGAUCAACGUGGAACGCAAAUGAUUCGUAUAAUCAUAACCCGCGAGCUACUUACCAUCAACAAUUCACGAGCGAUGGAAGAAACAUCUGAAGGAGGCGGAUCGAACCUUGAGGAUGGUUUGGAUCCACGUCCUAGUGAGAUCCCGCAACGGAAAAUGGGAAGGGGGCGGAGAAAAGUGGGGAGGAGAAGCAUUGUAAAACCCUAGGAGGAGAGUUCUUGAGAAUGGAGAUUAAGAUUUUGGUUUCUGCUCCGACGAAUCAGAUCACUCCCAUUUGGUUUCUGCUCCGCCGAAUCAGAUCACUCCCGCCGGUCCUCCCUCUUCGAGUCCUCNNNN
rnacentral:lncRNA from 1 species